rnacentral:rRNA from 1 species
GACGAACGCUGGCGGCGUGCUUAACACAUGCAAGUCGAACGGAAAGGCCUGCUUUCCCUUGUGGAUUGCGGGUACUCGAGUGGCGAACGGGUGAGUAACACGUGAGGGAUAUGCCCCCAACUUGGGUAUAAGCCUGGGAAACUGGGUCGAAUUCCCGAUAGGACUGAAGGGUGGUGCCGGUGGUGGAAAACGAUUUUCUAGUGGUUGGGGAUGUGCUCGCGGCCUAUCAGCUUGUUGGUGGGGUAAUGGCCUACCAAGGCGGCGACGGGUAGCCGGCCUGAGAAGGUGGACGGCGUCAUUGGGACUGAGCCGCGGCCCUGACACCUACGGGAGGCAGCAGUGGGUACUAGUGGACGCUGUGCGGAAGCCUGGUGCAGCGACGCCGCGUUGGGGAUGCCGGCCUGCGGGUUGUAAACUCCUUUCGGCCGCGAGGAAGCCACCUGGCUGGAAGGGUGGUGACGGUAGUGGUAGAAGAAGCCCCGGCUAACUACGUG